rnacentral:rRNA from 1 species
GAUGAACGCUAGCGGCAGGCUUAAUACAUGCAAGUCGAGGGGUAGCAAGAUUGUAGCAAUACAAUUGUUGACGACCGGCAAACGGGUGCGGAACACGUACACAACCUUCCUACAAGUGGGGAAUAGCCCAGAGAAAUUUGGAUUAAUACCCCGUAACAUAGCGAUGUGGCAUCACAUUGCUAUUAUAGCUUCGGCGCUUGUUGAUGGGUGUGCGGCUGGUUAGAUAGUUGGCGGGGUAACGGCCCACCAAGUGUACGAUCAGUAGCUGAUGGGGGAGCAUGAUCAGCGACACGGGCACGGAGACACGGACCCGACUCCUACGGGAGGCAGCAGUAAGGAAUAUUGGACAAUGGACGCAAGUCUGAUCCAGCCAUGCCGCGUGAAGGAUUCAGGUCCUCUGGAUUGUAAACUUCUUUUAUAAGGGACGAAAAAAGGUCUUUCUAGAUCGUCUGACGGUACCUUAUGAAUAAGCACCGGCUAACUCCGUGCCAGCAGCCGCAGUAACAC